AGUGAACGCUGGCGGUAGGCCUAACACAUGCAAGUCGAACGGCAGCACAGUAAGAGCUUGCUCUUACGGGUGGCGAGUGGCGGACGGGUGAGGAAUACAUCGGAAUCUACUUUUUCGUGGGGGAUAACGUAGGGAAACUUACGCUAAUACCGCAUACGACCUACGGGUGAAAGCAGGGGAUCUUCGGACCUUGCGCGAUUGAAUGAGACGAUGUCGGAUUAGCUAGUUGGCGGGGUAAAGGCCCACCAAGGCGACGAUCCGUAGCUGGUCUGAGAGGAUGAUCAGCCACACUGGAACUGAGACACGGUCCAGACUCCUACGGGAGGCAGCAGUGGGGAAUAUUGGACAAUGGGCGCAAGCCUGACCCAGCCAUACCGCGUGGGUGAAGAAGGCCUUCGGGUUGUAAAGCCCUUUUGUUGGGAAAGAAAAGCAGCAGGUGAAUACCCCGCUGUUCUGACGGUACCCAAAGAAUAAGCACCGGCUAACUUCGUG
rnacentral:rRNA from 1 species